UACGUAGGGUGCGAGCGUUAAUCGGAAUUACUGGGCGUAAAGCGUGCGCAGGCGGUUCGCUAAGACCGAUGUGAAAUCCCCGGGCUUAACCUGGGAACUGCAUUGGUGACUGGCGGGCUAGAGUGUGGCAGAGGGGGGUAGAAUUCCACGUGUAGCAGUGAAAUGCGUAGAUAUGUGGAGGAACACCGAUGGCGAAGGCAGCCCCCUGGGCCAGCACUGACGCUCAUGCACGAAAGCGUGGGGAGCAAACAGG
rnacentral:rRNA from 1 species